rnacentral:rRNA from 1 species
UGGGGAAUUUUGGACAAUUGGGCGAAAGCCUGAUCCAGCAAUGCCGCGUGUGUGAAGAAGGCCUUCGGGUUGUAAAGCACUUUUGUCCGGAAAGAAAUCCUUGGCUCUAAUACAGUCGGGGGAUGACGGUACCGGAAGAAUAAGCACCGGCUAACUACGUGCCAGCAGCCGCGGUAAUACGUAGGGUGCAAGCGUUAAUCGGAAUUACUGGGCGUAAAGCGUGCGCAGGCGGUUUGCUAAGACCGAUGUGAAAUCCCCGGGCUCAACCUGGGAACUGCAUUGGUGACUGGCAGGCUAGAGUAUGGCAGAGGGGGGUUAGAAUUCCACGUGUAGCAGUGAAAUGCGUAGAGAUGUGGAGGAAUACCGAUGGCGAAGGCAGCCCCCUGGGCCAAUACUGACGCUCAUGCACGAAAGCGUGGGGGAGCAAAACAGGAUUAGAUACCCUGGUAGUCCACGCCCUAAACGAUGUCAACUAGUUGUUGGGGAUUCAUUUCCUAGUAACGUAGCUAACGCGUGAAGUUGACCGCCUGGGGAGUACGGUCGCAA